GACGAACGCUGGCGGCGUGCUUAACACAUGCAAGUCGAACGGAAAGGCCCUGCUUUUGUGGGGUGCUCGAGUGGCGAACGGGUGAGUAACACGUGAGUAACCUGCCCUUGACUUUGGGAUAACUUCAGGAAACUGGGGCUAAUACCGGAUAGGAGCUCCUGCUGCAUGGUGGGGGAUGGAAAGUUUCGGCGGUUGGGGAUGGACUCGCGGCUUAUCAGCUUGUUGGUGGGGUAGUGGCUUACAAAGGCUUUGACGGGUAGCCGGCCUGAGAGGGUGGCCGGGCACAUUGGGACUGAGAUACGGCCCAGACUCCUACGGGAGGCAGCAGUGGGGAAUAUUGCACAAUGGGCGGAAGCCUGAUGCAGCAACGCCGCGUGCGGGAUGACGGCCUUCGGGUUGUAAACCGCUUUCGCCUGUGACGAAGCGUGAGUGACGGUAAUGGGUAAAGAAGCACCGGCUAACUACGUG
rnacentral:rRNA from 1 species